GAUGAACGCUGGCGGCGUGCCUAAUACAUGCAAGUCGAGCGAACAGAUGAGGAGCUUGCUCCUCUGACGUUAGCGGCGGACGGGUGAGUAACACGUGGAUAACCUACCUAUAAGACUGGGAUAACUUCGGGAAACCGGAGCCAAUACCGGAUAAUAUAUUGAACCGCAUGGUUCAAUAGUGAAAGACGGUUUUGCUGUCACUUAUAGAUGGAUCCGCGCCGCAUUAGCUAGUUGGUAAGGUAACGGCUUACCAAGGCAACGAUGCGUAGCCGACCUGAGAGGGUGAUCGGCCACACUGGAACUGAGACACGGUCCAGACUCCUACGGGAGGCAGCAGUAGGGAAUCUUCCGCAAUGGGCGAAAGCCUGACGGAGCAACGCCGCGUGAGUGAUGAAGGUCUUCGGAUCGUAAAACUCUGUUAUUAGGGAAGAACAAAUGUGUAAGUAACUAUGCACGUCUUGACGGUACCUAAUCAGAAAGCCACGGCUAACUACGUG
rnacentral:rRNA from 1 species